rnacentral:tRNA from 1 species
CAAAUUAGAGCUUGGUAGGAAGUUUUUUAUUUACAUUAAAAAGUUGUUGUGCGAUUCAAUAUAAUUUGA